rfam:Arabis alpina cultivar Pajares chromosome 5, whole genome shotgun sequence.
UGAAAUCUCAAAGGAGUGUCAUGAAAACACAGAUUUUUAUGGUUUCUAUAACAUUGAAACUGAAACCAUAAGAGUUUGUGUUCUCAGGUCACCCCUUUGAAUCUCCA